UGGGGAAUUUUGGACAAUGGGGGAAACCCUGAUCCAGCCAUCCCGCGUGUGCGAUGAAGGCCUUCGGGUUGUAAAGCACUUUUGGCAGGAAAGAAACGUCAUGGGUUAAUACCCCGUGAAACUGACGGUACCUGCAGAAUAAGCACCGGCUAACUACGUGCCAGCAGCCGCGGUAAUACGUAGGGUGCAAGCGUUAAUCGGAAUUACUGGGCGUAAAGCGUGCGCAGGCGGUUCGGAAAGAAAGAUGUGAAAUCCCAGAGCGCAACUUUGGAACUGCAUUUUUAACUACCGGGCUAGAGUGUGUCAGAGGGAGGUGGAAUUCCGCGUGUAGCAGUGAAAUGCGUAGAUAUGCGGAGGAACACCGAUGGCGAAGGCAGCCUCCUGGGAUAACACUGACGCUCAUGCACGAAAGCGUGGGGAGCAAACAGG
rnacentral:rRNA from 1 species